CAAUUGGUGGCUCAAUUGGUAGAGCAAUUCUCCGGCAAGGAAGAGGUUGUGGGUUCAAGUCCCACCCGCAUCA
rnacentral:tRNA from 1 species